GCGCCUGAAUUAACCCCGGGGAUGCCAGAGGGACUCUUAGGUCUUGGUGGUGGUUAUUAAUAAGCGUCAUCGUUCACCUUAAAGAACAGAGGGCAGGAGUUUGAGUUCUUUUCAGCCAGAAGAAAUGCUAGGUGUGUAACGUGGAGUUAGCCAGCUCUCCAGCCCAGGAGUCCAGUGGUCUGGAUCUACGGUUGCCCAACUCUGUCCUAAGUGCCAGAGCCUUUCAGUAUUUUCAACGACGUGAUGACUGGAAGGCAUCGGCGCUGCACUACAGUUUCAAGUCUGGCGAACACGCGGACAAGGGCUCUCCAGCCAGCCAGUUCCCAGCACGACUCUUAGGAAUAUGUGGGAGAGUCUCUCCGGGUUUGACCAAGGUCAAGUGGGGGCUCUGAGCACAGGAGCCCUAGCGAGGGACCAGCGGGGCGGGGACAGAGCUUUCCUCCCGGAAAACCCUCUGCUCUCUCCGAUGCGGGCCCGCCGAGGCCCGAGCGGGGUUGGAAGCCUAGAUAAGCUUCCAGCGGCCACCGCCGGGUCAGAAGAAAAGCCGCGAAGCUCUGGGCUCUGCGGCAGGACCCUCGGCGGCCGCCGUACCGCAGAGCCGAACCCGCGCGCCCUGAGCGCAGCGGCAGCUGAGUACUCAGACCAACCUGGGCGACUCCGGAGCAUCCUUAGAGCCUGGGGAUCUUGCUUUCCUCACCAGUAAAAUGGCUUCCUGUCUCAUGGGCUGUGUGAGGACUGAAUGAGGUAAUGCUUGUGCAGUCAUAAAGUGCUUAUCGCAAUGCCCCAAGCCGAUGCGGGCAGUCAGCCUAGAGAGGCAGUUUCCUCUUCCUUACCUGAUAGGCAUAUCGCGUCAUCUACACCCCUGGCACUACCCGGGGGACGGCGUGGGCUCUCCAAAAAGACCUCAGAUCCUUUUACUCUAGAAGGAGGAUGAAGCUUCUGGAAUGUUAAAAGAAUGCAGCGAGACUAUCUCUAAAGGGGGUUGUCCCCUGGCUGAUUCUAAAGUAAAUUACUUUCUCUGCCGCUACUGCCCUUUACAACUGGAUGUCUGCAAGCCUCACGGUGGGUCUCCUCAUUUGUAAACGGGAGUUAAUAGGGGUGUUGUGAGAAUUCAGGGAGAAAAUACACAUACACAGAACCCGCAUUUAAUUAGGCCCUGGGAAAUGGUACCAGUUCUUUUUUCACUACACAAGCAGCACUAUUGGAAACACCCACUCUGAGCACCUGCUUCUCUGAGUUCAGGUGGGGGGAGGGAAAGCAGAAGGUGCCUGGGUUGAGAGAGCCUGCGGGGGAGCCAGCCACACCCAGACAGCCAGCAGCCUUGACCCUCGUGAGUGUGUCUGCUCUAUGCUCCACCUUCUGUUUGCAUUUGCUGCUCCCAUUAUUUCCCCCACCUAUGCUCCCAGGAGCUCACGCACAAGGACAUCUUGUCCUGAAGGAGCACGAUGAGUGCAGCACAGACCAACAGCCGUAGAGCCCUCGAAGUCAGCAGGUGAGGUCCCAUAACCUCCAAGUGAGUGAGGCCCCCCCAGGUUAGCUUCUUGGAAAUAACCACCUCAGGGUCUGUUGAGGUCAGGCCCUCCUUUCUGCAGUAAAUUAGACUUUCUAAAGUACUAGAGAAAAGAAACAAAACAAACAAACCUUGACAUAUCUUUAUUCCAUUACCCAAUACCCAAAAGAAAGGCGUUUCACUUGCCUUUAAAGUGAACUGUAGUUCCAGCUACAUUUAUAGAACCCUUUCUCUUUACAGUCAUUAUACUAAGUGCUCUGCAAUCUCAGAUAAUUCUCACCACACCCUCACAGUAUUCUGUCCAUUGUACAUGUUGGAAAACCAAGCCUCAGAGAUUGCGAGCCUUGUUGAAGGUCACAGCCAAAAAGCAGCAGAGCCAGAGUGGGAAUCGGGCUGAUCUAUAAACAGUGUGCUCUUAACAGCUACACUACUCUAAAUAUAUACCCUAUUCUCUGCUUUAAAUAAAGUGCUUUUGGUGUCUUCAUUUUCAGGGCCUCUAGGUUCUCCUCCACCCCCUGAAACCCAUCUUCUUUCUCUAACCUUUUAUUCAUUGUAAGCAUGUCACGCAUGCUGAAUUUGUGAGCUCAGCACCACACUUAGCAGGCUUUGGUUAGGGAAUUCAGCUGCAAAACACCCUCUGCCCAGCCAAGUCCUCAGAGCUAAAUCCAGGGAUGCAAGGCCUCUUGGCUCUGCAGUUGUAGUGGCACCAUGAUAUGGCCUCUCUGGGUCCUGCCUCAGAGGCCUCUCCAUCCACCUGUUCUAGUGAACACACUUGUCUUCCCCAUCGGUUACUGGGUUAAGAUGUCCUAUGCUUUCACCUUUAUGUGGCUCCAGAUGUUGGAUUUAAUUAAAAAAAAAAUCUGCAGCAGAAAUGUGGUUAUGAGUCAGGGAUGCGUACGUGUGUGCUCGUUUGUGUGUGAAGCCAGUCUCUCAGCAGCAGCUAAAAAUGUGAAGCAGCCAGUCUGCGCCAGGAAUUGAGGACACCGUAUGCUUGCAUUUCUAGGUCUUCCUAAGAGUUAUAUAACUGCCCCUGAAGCCAGGGGGCAGGAGCAGGGCCAGCCGUGGGAGAUGUUUCCAAAGAGGAAUGCUGAGGAAGGACUGACCUUGAGAAGACGGGGAGUUGGCCAGGCCAUGGAAUGUUCCCAGCCUUGGGGCUUAAACAAAAACUGUAUUCAGAGGGUGAGGGCUCUGUUGAGAACAAACCCUGUCUGUCUCCCUGCUUUGUCUUGGGGGCCUAUCAAGGUGAGCCCUUACCCUGUGGGGCACUGGAUAUUGAAUUCAGAGCUGGGCACAGCUGCCACAACAGGGCCCUGGUAAUCCUCCCAGCCAUCUCUAAUUAGCAGACUUUGGGGCUCUCGGCGUCUUGAGGGCCAGGCAGAGGUGAGAUAAGAACUCCAGCCUCAUCUGUUCACAGAACAAGGCUGCAGAAAAGCAUUUCAGGGGAGGAGAGCUGUGGGAGGGAAUACAGCCAAUCAGCGAAGGCUUAUCAAGGGCUCACUCUGUGGUCAUCCUGGGGAGAAGGAGGUAUCUGAUUGGUCCCUUCCCCUUGGGGCCUUGUAGGAAAAAAAACUCUCUUUGCCAUUCUCCCUGCCCACUGUCUUAGAUGACUAAUGCUUAUUUUUCCUUCAGGCCUCAACACAGAGGGCUGAGACCUAGAGCGGUGUUUUUCAAACUGUGGGUCAUAACCCAUUAUUCACUUGCUUAAUCAAUUCAGCGGGUCACACACAGCAUUAUAAGAAAGAGAAUAGACCAUCGAAUCACAUCAGAUGUAAUAAAGAUGCCUGUUAUUUCAGU